rnacentral:rRNA from 1 species
AACGAACGCUGGCGGCAGGCUUAACACAUGCAAGUCGAGCGCCCCGCAAGGGGCGCGGCAGACGGGUGAGUAACGCGUGGGAAUCUACCCAUCUCUACGGAAUAACGCAUGGAAACGUGUGCUAAUACCGUAUACGUCCUUCGGGAGAAAGAUUAUCGGAGAUGGAUGAGCCCGCGUUGGAUUAGCUAGUUGGUGGGGUAAAGGCCUACCAAGGCGACGAUCCAUAGCUGGUCUGAGAGGAUGAUCAGCCACACUGGGACUGAGACACGGCCCAGACUCCUACGGAAGGCAGCAGUGGGGAAUAUUGGACAAUGGGCGCAAGCCUGAUCCAGCCAUGCCGCGUGAGUGAUGAAGGCCCUAGGGUUGUAAGGCUCUUUCACCGGUGAAGAUAAUGACGGUAACCGGAGAAGAAGCCCCGGCUAACUUCGUGCCAGCCGCCGCAGUAACAC